UUGGUUAAGUUAGAAAGGGCGCACGGUGGAUGCCUUGGCACUAGGAGCCGAAGAAGGACGGGACUAACACCGAUAUGCUUUGGGGAGCUGUACGUAAGCGUUGAUCCAGAGAUUUCCGAAUGGGGGAACCCACUAUCUUUAGUCGGAUAGUAUCCUUACGUGAAUACAUAGCGUGAGGAAGGCAGACCCAGGGAACUGAAACAUCUAAGUACCUGGAGGAAGAGAAAGAAAAAUCGAUUUCCUGAGUAGCGGCGAGCGAAACGGAAAGAGCCCAAACCAAGAAGCUUGCUUCUUGGGGUUGUAGGACACUCUAUACGGAGUUACAAAAGAAAGUUAUAAAUGAAGCGGUCUGGAAAGGCCCGCCAAAGACGGUAACAGCCCGGUAGUUGAAAUGGCUUUCCCUCCAGAGUGGAUCCUGAGUACGGCGGAACACGUGAAAUUCCGUCGGAAUCCGGGAGGACCAUCUCCCAAGGCUAAAUACUCCCUAGUGACCGAUAGUGAACCAGUACCGUGAGGGAAAGGUGAAAAGCACCCCGGAAGGGGAGUGAAACAGUUCCUGAAACCGUGUGCCUACAAGUAGUUAGAGCCCGUUAAUGGGUGAUAGCGUGCCUUUUGUAGAAUGAACCGGCGAGUUACGAUUUGUUGCAAGGUUAAGCGGAAAAAGCGGAGCCGUAGCGAAAGCGAGUCUGAAUAGGGCGCAUAAGUAACAGGUCGUAGACCCGAAACCAGGUGAUCUACCCAUGUCCAGGAUGAAGGUAAGGUAAUACUUACUGGAGGUCCGAACCCACGCACGUUGAAAAGUGCGGGGAUGAGGUGUGGGUAGCGGAGAAAUUCCAAUCGAACUUGGAGAUAGCUGGUUCUCUCCGAAAUAGCUUUAGGGCUAGCCUCGAGGUAAAGAGUCAUGGAGGUAGAGCACUGUUUGGACUAGGGGCCCUUCUCGGGUUACCGAAUUCAGAUAAACUCCGAAUGCCAUGUACUUAUACUCGGGAGUCAGACUGCGAGUGAUAAGAUCCGUAGUCGAAAGGGAAACAGCCCAGACCACCAGUUAAGGUCCCCAAAUAUAUGUUAAGUGGAAAAGGAUGUGGGGUUGCUUAGACAACCAGGAUGUUGGCUUAGAAGCAGCCACCAUUGAAAGAGUGCGUAAUAGCUCACUGGUCGAGUGACCCCGCGCCGAAAAUGUACCGGGGCUAAACAUAUUACCGAAACUGUGGAUGAACCUCUUCGGAGGUUCGUGGUAGGAGAGCGUUCUAAGGGCGGUGAAGUCAGACCGGAAGGACUGGUGGAGCGCUUAGAAGUGAGAAUGCCGGUAUGAGUAGCGAAAGAAGGGUGAGAAUCCCUUCCACCGAAUAUCUAAGGUUUCCUGAGGAAGGCUCGUCCGCUCAGGGUUAGUCGGGACCUAAGCCGAGGCCGAUAGGCGUAGGCGAUGGACAACAGGUAGAGAUUCCUGUACCAGUGCUAAUUGUUUAACCGAUGGGGUGACACAGAAGGAUAGGGAAUCGCACGAAUGGAAAUGUGCGUCCAAGCAGUGAGUGUGAGAAGUAGGCAAAUCCGCUUCU
rnacentral:rRNA from 1 species